AGGCUGCGUCUGAGCACAACUCCUGGCUGCCACUCUGCAGUCUUAAAGGGACAGAGGGGAGCAGCAUGCAAAGAUGCUAGGCACCACCCGCGUCGACUCUGGUAGCUGCAGAAGAGAGCCUUUUGAGAAGGGCUUCACUGUGCUGCUGUUCUCCCAACUUGAGGGGAGGAGGAGCAGCAGUGCACCGAGUUACUUCUUCCCUCUGCCAAACCACAUGUGUUCCUGGAUCAGGGUCAUCCGAAGAAUGGAGGUUCAGACCUGACAGUGCAUCAGCUGAACAAGACAAUUUAAAAUACUCUGCAUCCAGAGACCGGGGCAGUUCUGCCUCCUAUGGAUUACAACCCUCAAAUUCAGCUGUGGUGUCCCGUCAAAGACACGAUGAUAUCAGAGUCCACACUGACAUACAGAAUGAAGAAAAAGGUGGCUACAAUGUCAAUGGAGGAUCUGGGGAAAAUACUUAUGGUCGGAAGUCGUUGGGGCAAGAGCUGAGAGUUAACAAUGUGACCAACUCUGAUUUUACCAGUGUUCAGCAUGGGAAUCGUGCUUUAGCCACAAAAGACAUGAGGAAAUCACAGGGUAAGAAUAAAAUUAUUUUA